rnacentral:lncRNA from 1 species
GCUAGGGCAAGGAGCUCAUGAGGGAGAGGGAGAGCUCGUGGUAGAGAAAGAGAAGAGCAAGCUCGAGGAAUCGUCGAACUAAGGUACGAGAGUUAGAUUACAUAUUCGUGAGUGAUUCGAAAGAGGGGAGGAUGUCGAUUCCUCCAUUCCCAAACUCUUUCCACUCUAUUUUCUUGUGGGUUUUGUGGGUGAUUUUCUUAAUGGAAAAUGGAUUUUUUUGAUCCUAACAUGUGUAGUGAACUCAUGGUAGAUGAGGUAAACAACUUUGGGGAGUUGAAAGUGGGUAUAUGUAGAUGUUUGAUCAAUGAUUUGCAUGUUUUGUUAAACUUGCUUAAAAUGCAAGAAAUUGGUAUGAAUUUGUAAGUGUGAUGUAUGUGGG